AAAGCAUUCUUUCUUUAGCAUCCCACUGGAUUCUUUUUUCAGAGCACAACUGAAGGGCUUCAUUUGGUUCCCGACAACAUUCCAGGCACAGAACUACAACACAUCAUGUAUUUCACCACUACCGUCAGGUCAGAAAAGCCUCACUUUUAUGAGAAAUGCAUAACGAGGCAAAAAGCCCAGAAGAUCAAAAAAACUCAUCUCUCCUGGCAGCAUCUAGAAAUUUGUCCCCACUGCUUCUUGAUAAGCAGAUGUUUACGGCCAAGUUCACUUCAGAAACCAGUACUAUGAGGCUGGAGUUAGCUGUCCUAAAGGAUAAGCCCUCACUGAAGCACAUCUCCCCAAGGCAGCUGGCAAAACAGAUGAGGUGAAGUACCUAACGUCCAAACAGUGAGAAUAAACAUCAAAGAGCUUCUGGGGCCCAUGAAAGCAUUUUAAUUGAAAAUACCUACAUCUGCCUCCAAGCACAAAACCUCUUCCAGUAGUACUAAAGGAUCAGCAAUGUGUCAGGAAGAAAAAUAGAAGACCAUUGUGGCUGGGCACACUACUGAACACAGUAAACACAACGUCCCCGCUCCCUCUGCUAGCAGAGGUCAGGCAAGUGGAGACGUCUGCCACUGAUUUCAGGUCUGGAGCUACCUGACUCAUCAAUAUUUUGGUUUUGUAGCUAAGGAGAGCUACAUUAUGCCAAGGCAAAAAUAAACAGUCAUCGGAUCUGUAAGUAAAUAAUUAUACGGUAACGGUAGUGAUCCAUUAUUUAAGGUUCCAAAACAAUUUUCCCUUUAAACUCAGUUUCAUUAGAACACCUCAACACUUUCUCUGCGCUACUCCAUGAUUCGUUCCCGGUUAGAGGAAAAUAUUUGGAAGUGGUGGGUUUUUAGGAGGAGCUGCUUUUACAGAACAUAAAAUUAGCAAUUUGUAGCAUUUUGUGCCAAAGGUUUUGGCCACGCGUAGUUCAUAAAAUAAGCAGAUACAGUUUUCCCACUGGCCAUGCUGACAAUAAAGACAGGCAAUAUUUUUUUUUUUUGCCAAGAGGCCCAGGGAGGGUUUGUUACCAAGGUGAUCUCUGCCCUUGGCUUAACCCUAUGAGAAGUUUGGGGAAGGGUGUACCUACUGUACUAUUUCUAAUUUCAUCAUACUUUGAUGACUAGAGAUACAUUAUAUAUAUAUGGGGACGUAAACGGAUCAAAAUUACAUAGAAGUCUCCUAUCUCUGUCCUUGUAUCUCUCUAAUGGAAAGUGAAGUCCUCAGCCUCCAACGAUCACCCUGUAAACCGCCUCUAGCUUUUCUCCUUCUAUGAAUAUUCUUGGCAAAUGUUGGCAAUGAAUACACUCAAGCAGUCUUUCAGAUUCUGCUCCUUUUUUGGGAAGGGGACUUGAUAUAAAUUAUAUUUGGUAUCCUCUAAUCAUUCUUUCUCCUUCAAAUGAUCUCCUGAUCCCAUGUGUGUAUUCAGGUUAAAAGAAAAAAAAAAAAGCCUUCCCUUUAAACAUUAAGAAUCCAGGACUUGGUUUGGUUUUGAUUUAGAAAGGAGCUAAAAUACACAAAACUUUUCCCCUUCAAAACUCACAAUCUCUUGCCUGGUGCUCUUUGAUUAAAAUGGAUGCAUUAAGUCUAUGUCACUUGUAAUUAAAAUGACAUUUCUAACCUAGAAGUUGUUUUAAUACAAAAGCUAUAACUACCUAUGACAGUGGAAACAUUUGAAUUGUGUAUUUUUUUUGUUGUCUUUUAUUUAAAUUGAGCAGCACAGUCCUGUGAAACAUUUCUAUAUCAGUUAAAUUAUACACUUUCCACUGGAAAAAAAAAUCUAUUAGGACUUUUUCCACACUCUAUUUAUGGAAGCAUCAGAUCAUCUUCUGUUCCUUUACUGCUUUUCCUGAGAUUUCUCUGCAGUUCAGACAAGAGCAUUUCACAGAUAGCACCAAUCAGCUCUUUACUGUGCUAAUAAAUUUGUGGCUUCUAUACACUGAAUCAUAGGCAUGAGGGAUUCAAGAUCAGGUCUUGGAUUCCAACUGAGAGAGCAUUUUAAGUGUGCUUAACUUUAUUGUUAAUGUGUAUUUAAAUGCUUCUCUGGGCUGGAGUUGUUAUCAGUUUAGACCACAAAUUAAACCCAUUGAACGGUAAAUUUCUGUAAAAAUACCAUCAUGCAAAAAGCAAACGUACACACUCUGGAGUGUCAUUUCCUAUGACAGCUAGUUAGGAACUUCAGCUGAUGGAUAGUGAGCACAUAUGGACACAGGGGGUAAAACUAAGGAUGUUGUAGACUUUGCACUGCCUGCUUCCUGGAUUUUCAGUUCUUGUUGCACCAUUAUUAAGCAGUCUCAUUGUUUUGAAGAGCAAUAAAUAUUCACAAUUAAAUCUGCUUUGCAGUUAUCUUGUUUGGGAAGUUCUUUAUGGACCACAGUUUUUCUUCAGAAAUGCUGCUGUGCAAAUAGUGUUACCU
ensembl:lncRNA